rnacentral:lncRNA from 1 species
CACCACCACCAAUACCAAUAUUAAAACCACUACCACUACCAAAACCAAUACCACCACUAAUACCAAAACCACCGAUACUAACACCACCACUAAAACCAACACUGCCACAAAUACCAACACCACUAACACUACCACCACCACUAAUAACACCCCCACCAUCACCCAUGCAGAAUCUAACAGGCUAUGUAUCACCUAACUAUCUCUCAACCUUGGUUGGGAUGAAUUUCACUCAUACCUUCUCAGUCAGAGUGUGUCGCAUUACUAACCCUUAUCCUAUAUCCCACAAUAACUAUCUCCUCUCAG